rnacentral:rRNA from 1 species
UGGCGAACGGGUGAGUAACGCGUGAGGAACCUGCCUCAAAGAGGGGGGAAACAGUUGGAAACGACUGCUAAUACCGCAUAAGCCCACGGGUCGGCAUCGACCUGAGGGAAAAGGAGCAAUCCGCUUUGAGAUGGCCUCGCGUCCGAUUAGCUAGUUGGUGAGGUAACGGCCCACCAAGGCGACGAUCGGUAGCCGGACUGAGAGGUUGAACGGCCACAUUGGGACUGAGACACGGUCCAA